ensembl:lncRNA
AUCAGUUAGGGUUAGGUUCAGGUAUCAGUUAGGGUUAGGUUCAGGUAUCAGUUAGGGUUAGGUAAACGUAUCAGUUAGGGUUAGGUUAAGGUAUCAGUUAGGGUUAGGUUAAGGUAUCAGUUAGGGUUAGGUUCAGGUAUCAGUUAGGGUUAGGUAAACGUAUCAGUUAGGGUUAGGUUCAGGUAUCAGUUAGGGUUAGGUUAAGGUAUCAGUUAGGGUUAGGUUCAGGUAUCAGUUAGGGUUAGGUUCAGGUAUCAGUUAGGGUUAGGUAAACGUAUCAGUUAGGGUUAGGUUAACGUAUCAGUUAGGGUUAGGUUAAGGUAUCAGUUAGGGUUAGG